rnacentral:rRNA from 1 species
CCUACGGGAGGCUGCAGUGGGGAAUAUUGGACAAUGGGGGGAACCCUGAUCCAGCCAUGCCGCGUGUGUGAAGAAGGCCCGCGGGUUGUAAAGCACUUUCAGUGAGGAAGAACGCCUGGUGGUUAAUACCCAUCAGGAAAGACAUCACUCACAGAAGAAGCACCGGCUAACUCCGUGCCAGCAGCCGCGGUAAUACGGAGGGUGCGAGCGUUAAUCGGAAUUACUGGGCGUAAAGCGCGCGUAGGUGGCUUGAUAAGCCGGUUGUGAAAGCCCCGGGCUCAACCUGGGAACGGCAUCCGGAACUGUCAAGCUAGAGUGCAGGAGAGGAAGGUAGAAUUCCCGGUGUAGCGGUGAAAUGCGUAGAGGUCGGGAGGAAUACCAGUGGCGAAGGCGGCCUUCUGGACUGACACUGACACUGAGGUGCGAAAGCGUGGGUAGCAAACAGGAUUAGAUACCCGAGUAGUC